AGAGUAAAGAAAGCACGUCCGCCCAGGAGCAGCGCCUGACCGCAGCACGCUGCUGUCCCGCUGGAGACGGCUGAGAAACCGACGGGAACGGCGCUGCGGUGCGGAUACCGGCAGGAGUUAGCGCUGAGAGCGGGGCGGUGGGCACAGAUGCGAGCCCGCAGCUGUUCCCCAGGCGGAAACCAGCUCCCCGAGCAGUUCCGUGCUCAGCCGCGGUCCCACGGCCGCCGCGCGGCACAACACCGACGGCCGAGGGAUGCGCCCCCCCCCCGCCCCGCACCGAGCUCUGAGGGCUUUUUGUUCCCGAAGUCGGAGCGGGUUGGAUCCGGCCCAAGCGACCGUCCCGAGCACUCCCUCUUCAAAACCUGUGAUUUCUGUCAGCAGCAAAACAGCUGUGAAUUUUAGUCUCGAUGGAUUGCUCCCAGUCUGUCGCCGCAAUGGAGAAAUGCAGUCCAGUUUGGUCCAUCCACAUCAAGAGGAUGUCAAGGGGAAUUCCAAAUGGACACUCUCCAUAUCUUUCCCACUUCUCAAGCAAGUUGCUGAAGUAAACAUGGAGCUAAACUGCUGAGCUGGUUGUCGGAGCAAUGCUUUGGCUCCCUGCAGAGAAAUCAAUAGAUGGAAACCACAUGGAUACAGACUUACUGGGACCAGCAGCUUUUGGCACAAACACACGAAGAUGAGCAGCCUCUCUGCAUGUGAACGCUAAGGUUCGGGCUUUUUCUGACAUGUGGCCAGACUGGGCGCAGUCAGAAGAGGAACCAGUGCUCAAAAGCAAUUGUGCUCAGCCCCUCUGAGCUACAGAUGCUCUUUUGGAUAAAGUUCAAUGCACAAAUGAA